CGAAGGGUGCAAGCGUUACUCGGAAUUACUGGGCGUAAAGCGUGCGUAGGUGGUUCGUUAAGUCAGAUGUGAAAGCCCCGGGCUCAACCUGGGAAUUGCAUUUGAUACUGGCGGGCUAGAGUGCGGUAGAGGAGAGUGGAAUUCCCGGUGUAGCAGUGAAAUGCGUAGAGAUCGGGAGGAACAUCAGUUGCGAAGGCGGCUCUCUGGACCAGCACUGACACUGAGGCACGAAAGCGUGGGGAGCAAACAGGAUUAGAUACCCUGGUAGUCCACGCCCUAAACGAUGCGAACUGGACGUUGGGAGCAAUCAGGCUCUCAGUGUCGAAGCUAACGCGUUAAGUUCGCCGCCUGGGGAGUACGGUCGCAAGACUG
rnacentral:rRNA from 1 species